UAAAUGACGUGAUCAAAACCGCACAGCAUUCUGGGAGAUGUAGGCAGAAGAAGGCUUUAGCCACUCAACCUCUCAUAGCUAGCUAAGCAAAGUGGAUGGCAUGAACGAACUCUGGUUACCUAGCAAC